rnacentral:rRNA from 1 species
GCAGCAGUGGGGAAUAUUGCACAAUGGGCGCAAGCCUGAUGCAGCGACGCCGCGUGGGGGAUGACGGCCUUCGGGUUGUAAACUCCUUUCGCUAGGGACGAAGCUUUUUGUGACGGUACCUAGAUAAGAAGCACCGGCUAACUACGUGCCAGCGGCCGCGGUAAUACGUAGGGUGCGAGCGUUGUCCGGAAUUACUGGGCGUAAAGGGCUCGUAGGUGGUUUGUCGCGUCGUCUGUGAAAUUCCGGGGCUUAACUCCGGGCGUGCAGGCGAUACGGGCAUAACUUGAGUACUGUAGGGGUAACUGGAAUUCCUGGUGUAGCGGUGAAAUGCGCAGAUAUCAGGAGGAACACCGAUGGCGAAGGCAGGUUACUGGGCAGUUACUGACGCUGAGGAGCGAAAGCAUGGGUAGCGAACAGGAUUAGAUACCCUGGUAGUCCAUGCCGUAAACGGUGGGCGCUAGGUG